rnacentral:lncRNA from 1 species
GGGCAACCAAGUGCUAAUCCCUAUGGCCAGCCUGCGCAGCCCAGUGCUAACCCAUAUGGCCAAAAUGGGCACUCAAGUGCUAAUCCCUAUGGCCAGCCUGUGCAGCCCAGUGCUAACCCAUACAGCCAAAACGGGCAGCCAAGUGCUAAUCCCUAUGGCCUGCCUGCGCCACCCAGUGCAAACCCAUAUGGCCAGUCAAGUGCUAAUCCCUAUGGCCAGCCAACACAACCAAAUGCUAUUCCUUAUGGUCAAUCUGCACAACCAAAUGCUAAUCCGUAUGGUCAACCUGCACAACCAAAUGCUAAUCCAUACAGCCAACCUGUACAGGUACAUGCUAAUCCAUAUGGCCAACCUGCUCAGCCGAAUGCUAAUCCAUACAGCCAGCCUACACAGCCGAAUGCUAAUCCAUACAGCCAGCCUACACAGCCGAAUGCUAAUCCAUACGGCCAACCUGUACAGCCAAGUGC